CAGACUUCUAUUGCAAUCUAACUGCUAGAAGCAGAGCCCAUCCUCCUUACAACCAUAGAUCAAAACAUGUUUGCUUAAGUUUUUAGCUGUCUCUAUGGCUGCAAGCUCAAAACAGCUUUGGCAAAUUCCAAAGCUUAGUCAAAGUAAAUUGUUACUUCUCUGAGAAAGAAGAGGAAAACUAAUGUGGGAAAUGAAGAGGAAAAAAGCAUGCAUGGAAUGAAAAGGAAAAUGCAUCUAAAAAGAGAAGAGAAGGAGCGAUGCAUAAAGUGGAAUGCUGUGCAGGAAAUCUCUGAUCUUUGGCUGGCCACCAGAUUUGGUUUAUUUUGUAUAUAUUUAUGUGCAUACAUCAAUAUGAGAUAAAUAAGGUGCCAGAAGUGGACCUUACCACAGAAGCAUGCCUGUCUUAAGUCCACAGAGCAGCAAGAGAGUUCCUACCCUCAGGUACUUGGAAAUAUUAUAAUUAUAAAUAAAUAUUGUAAAGGACUGCAACUUUCAAUCUAUAGCAGUAUCUAUACUCUCCAGUUUCUAGAUCCAUCAGAGGAUCAUUGGAAAUAGAAAUUUCAAGGCUUAAAAAUUCUAGCGGACUGUAUCAUGUAAUACUUGCUAUUCUUUUCCCUCAGAUCUUGACCUCAACAGGAUGUUUUGCACUGCAGUUUCCCCCCUCUUCCUCCUAUGCAUACUCCUCUGACAGCAUAAAAAACUAAAUCUACUUCCCUUCCUCUUCACUUUUUUUACAUAUGAAAAAUACCCAGUG
rnacentral:lncRNA from 1 species